rnacentral:rRNA from 1 species
UACGAAGGGGGCUAGCGUUGCUCGGAAUUACUGGGCGUAAAGGGAGCGUAGGCGGAUAGUUUAGUCAGAGGUGAAAGCCCAGGGCUCAACCUUGGAAUUGCCGUUGAUACUGGCUAUCUUGAGUACGGAAGAGGUAUGUGGAACUCCGAGUGUAGAGGUGAAAUUCGUAGAUAUUCGGAAGAACACCAGUGGCGAAGGCGACAUACUGGUCCGUUACUGACGCUGAGGCUCGAAAGCGUGGGGAGCAAACAGG